rnacentral:rRNA from 1 species
GUCUAUGGCCAUGCCACCCUGAACAAGCCCAAUGUCUGAUCUCGGAAGCUAAGCAGGGUCAGGCCUGGUUAGUACUUGGAUGGGAGACCACCCAGAAAAACCAGGUGCUAUAGGCA